rnacentral:rRNA from 1 species
GCGUGCCUAAUACAUGCAAGUCGAGCGACCCUAUGAGAAGCUUGCUUCUCUGAUGUUAGCGGCGGACGGGUGAGUAACACGUGGGUAACCUACCUAUAAGACUGGGAUAACUCCGGGAAACCGGGGCUAAUACCAGAUAAUACAUUGAACCGCAUGGUUCAAUGUUGAAAGACGGUUUCGGCUGUCACUUAUAGAUGGACCCGCGCCGUAUUAGCUAGUUGGUAAGGUAACGGCUUACCAAGGCAACGAUACGUAGCCGACCUGAGAGGGUGAUCGGCCACACUGGAACUGAGACACGGUCCAGACUCCUACGGGAGGCAGCAGUAGGGAAUCUUCCGCAAUGGGCGAAAGCCUGACGGAGCAACGCCGCGUGAGUGAUGAAGGUCUUAGGAUCGUAAAACUCUGUUGUUAGGGAAGAACAAAUUUGUUAGUAACUGAACAAGUCUUGACGGUACCUAACCAGAAAGCCACGGCUAACUACGUGCCAGCAGCCGCGGUAAUACGUAGGUGGCAAGCGUUAUCCGGAAUUAUUGGGCGUAAAGCGCGCGUAGGCGGUUUCUUAAGUCUGAUGUGAAAGCCCACGGCUCAACCGUGGAGGGUCAUUGGAAACUGGGGAACUUGAGUGCAGAAGAGGAGAGUGGAAUUCCUUGUGUAGCGGUGAAAUGCGCAGAGAUAUGGGAGGAACCCCCAGUGGCGAAGGCGGCUCUCUGGUCUUGUAACUGACGCUGAUGUGCGAAAGCGUGGGGAUCAAACAGGAUUAGAUACCCUGGUAGUCCACGCCGUAAACGAUGAGUGCUAAGUGUUAGGGGGUUUCCGCCCCUUAGUGCUGCAGCUAACGCAUUAAGCACUCCGCCUGGGGAGUACGACCGCAAGGUUGAAACUCAAAGGAAUUGACGGGGACCCGCACAAGCGGUGGAGCAUGUGGUUUAAUUCGAAGCAACGCGAAGAACCUUACCAAAUCUUGACAUCCUUUGAUCGCUCUAGAGAUAGAGUUUUCCCCUUCGGGGGACAAAGUGACAGGUGGUGCAUGGUUGUCGUCAGCUCGUGUCGUGAGAUGUUGGGUUAAGUCCCGCAACGAGCGCAACCCUUAAGCUUAGUUGCCAUCAUUAAGUUGGGCACUCUAGGUUGACUGCCGGUGACAAACCGGAGGAAGGUGGGGAUGACGUCAAAUCAUCAUGCCCCUUAUGAUUUGGGCUACACACGUGCUACGAUGGAUAAUACAAAGGGCAGCGAACCCGCGAGGUCAAGCAAAUCCCAUAAAAUUAUUCUCAGUUCGGAUUGUAGUCUGCAACUCGACUACAUGAAGCUGGAAUCGCUAGUAAUCGUAGAUCAGCAUGCUACGGUGAAUACGUUCCCGGGUCUUGUACACACCGCCCGUCACACCACGAGAGUUUGUAACACCCGAAGCCGGUGGAGUAACCUUUUAUUAAGAGCUAGCCGUCGAAGGUGGGACAGAUGAUUG